GGAGGAAGGGCUUAGAGCGCAGGCCCCACGGCCUGGACGCGCGGGUUCGAAUCCCGCCUCCACCA
rnacentral:tRNA from 1 species